UCACAAAGUGGAGUAGAAAUAUCCCCCAAACAGGAAGAAAAAAUAUUAUCAGAAAUGCUCAUUCACCGUGUGAAAGAAUUCUUAGACCCGAUACAACCUGGUAUUGCCGAGAAAGCUAUGGAAUCCCCUAAGGCUAAAACAAUGUUAGCUGAAUUGAUUCAAAAGCUUAGAAUCAAGAGAAAUGAGAGUGCAAAUAUGGGAAGGAAAAGAAAAUAGUCAAGGGAUGAUGAGACAUUUCCCCUUUGACAUGCACUCUAAUCUCAUUGAAGGAUGCACCUGCAUUCUGCAAAUAUAUCUAAAAGUUACAAAAUUUUCUUGGAAUAAAAAUAAAACCAUUUGUAAGUUAGGAAUUCAAUAAACAUCAAGAAUUGGAAAUUUAAUUGAUAUUGUAUUAAAAAUUGAAUGUGAUGGUCCUUUCAUAAAUAUUACUCUAUGUCCUUGUAGGUAUUCCAUUUAAUUAAGAGACACUUUAGGACUUUCACUAAGGCAUUCAGUCCAUCAGAAAACAUCGAUUCCUCUAUGAAAUAUCAAAGAUACAUUGAAAAAAAUGACAAAAGAAAACUCUUAUAGUUUUGUUUAAUGGUACUAUAGGAUCGAUCACAAAUUCUUGGCCCCGUUUGUUUUUGGAAGUUCGAUACUUCUAGAGCAAUACAAAUUUCUUUUAUUUUAUGAGAAACUUCACUCUGCAUAUUAGCAAACAAUUUUAGUUCUAAUAUGGACAAUAUAUGACUAAUUUUACGAUUUGAUUAUGCAACUAAUGGAUACCAAAUGCAAUGUGCGGUUGUGGAUGAAAAGAAGUGUUGGCGGUGAAAAGAAUUGAUUAUAUGACAUGCUGACCGUCAGCUUGCGAGCAUCGCAAUAUGAAAAAAAAAAUAUAAGAAGGGAAGUGUGAUUGGUCUAGUUAUAACAAUUGUGUUGCAAUGGAAAAAAGUGUUCUAAAGAUCGAACACAAACGAGAUCAAGCAAGUGAGUUCCUAUGAAUAAAAUAACAUGCUAGUGAAAGUCUACUGAACUACUAUAGAAACCAAUUAUUACGAUAUUAAAAAAAGAUGAUUUUUUACGACAUUCUAGAAAAAUAAACAUGCAAUUAUCCAGUUAAUGAAAAUAUCAAUUCGGCAACUAUAGUGAUUGGUCAAUUUCCAUGCCAGCAGUGAAUUUGUGCUUAGAGAAAUUCAACCACCGACUUAUUUAACCAAACCUCACCUAUCGAUCUCAAGUUAAUUAAAAAAACACAUAAGGUAUCUCUAUGUACAGCUGCAUGGGAACACUCAAAUCAAGCUUUAGUUCCCUAACGUUUUGCCCAAAUGCAUAUUGAAUCCAUCCUUUAACCCGAAAUGGAUCGAAUACUUGCCUACAUUUAAGACAAAACAUAGUAACAUUGCUUUUGGUAAAUGCGUAAAGUACUUUUUUAUAAACAAUAUAUGUUUUACUUUGGUUAUUGAAUACAACAAGCUGAAAUAAAAACAAUUCAUAUCCAACCUUGAUUCCAAACAAGUUUGCUCGAUAUUGGACAAGUCUUUUUACAAGUAUAUAUUUGUUUCCUUUAUCUUUAAGUAUUCACAAAUUUAUAUAUUGUAACCUUUCAUGUUUGAAACUUUGUAGAAGCUAGACUAUUAUUUUGAAAAAGAUUAUAUAAUACAAUACUCCUUUAUACUAAACACAUGGCCUUUAACCUUUUAGAUAUAUAAAGAGUUCAAUAUAAUUUUAUUUAAUUUUCAACUAUCUUAUUUUAAUGUUGAACAAUAUGUCACAUCCUAAAAACUGGAUUAAAAGAAAUUGAGUUGGUGGAAUUAAGAGCGGUCACGAUUUGAUUUUGAGUUAAGAUUGUGAAAAUUUUUAUUAAGUAAAUUGAUCUGAUUUAGUGGUUAAGUGUGUUGUUUGUGUGUGAGAGCUUCUGGGUUUGAAUCAUGUUUCUUGAAUUUUUUGUUAUUUUAGCCCUAAUUCCUAUUUUGAGUAUCUAACUUAAAUUUAAUUCUUGCUCAAGUUUUUGAAAAGAAUGAACAUGCUGGUUCAGUGGUAAAGCCUCAAUUUACCCUUUGGUCUUGUGUUUGAACUUUGCGCCUGCAAGUAGGAUUAUUUUUGCUAAUUUUUCUUGAGUGUCGUCCAUCUUGUGGAAUUUGGGUUUUAAUAGAACUCUAGAAAAUCUGUUAGAUGAGGAUUAGAUUAGUGGGGUUAAAUGUUAGUUUGGAUGCGAUUUUUUAUUUUAUUUAAAAAAAUAAAAAAAAUAUUUCCCCAAAUUUGCUUCCCCAUUAUUCACAUAUUCCACGUUUCUUCCAAUUCUUCUCAUUUGUUUGUUUCACGUUGGCUUCUAGUAAAGAAAGAGAAUUUCUCAAACUUUCUUCUUUCUUCAUCUUUCAUCUCUAAAUUUUCGUUGCUUUCUUGUUUAUUGAUUCUUAUGUCAUUCAAUUUCGGAGGAGGGUUGACAAGGAAUGAGAUGGAUGAAUGCGGAAACAGAUUGUAAAGUUUUUCAAAGUCACGAAUGUAUCCUAAAUCUCUAGAAAAAAUUAAACUAAAAUGAGAAACAAUGAAAACAUAUUAGUUGUCACAAAGGAGAGUCAAACGAAAUUACAACAAAAGAAAGAUGAACCAGUUGGUAAAGAGUCCCACUUUAGAUUUGUACAAAACAUAAAUGAAAUUUGAUUAAAACUAGCAUCUAGAAACCCUUGUAGGGUUUGUCCAAAAUAAGUAUUAAUAGUGGCCAAUCAGUCCCACUUUUUGGGACCUCUACUUACUCUAUUUCAAUAUAUAACAAAGAUACGAACGAGCUCCAAUGUGACUAUUGAUUGAUUUUUGGUAAUUAGGUGUAACAGAUUAAACUAGUUUUCGCACUUUAGAAGCUUGAAAUUAAGUAUUUUCAUUAGGAUUUAAUUAUGUUUUAGUAAUUUUUGUUAAAUCCAAUAAAAUGUGCAAAUUGAGUAUUCUAUUGACCUUAGGUCCGAAUGAGGCCUAAGGGUGAGCUAAAAAACUUUAUAAGUGUGCAGGAGACCAUUAAAAGGCAUAUUAAACGGAUACUGGUCGCUAUGUCUCAACACAAAAUACACAAUGUCACAACAUAGAGAGUAGAAUGGAGAAAUUACAAAAUUUCCUUUGAUGUCUCAACACAGCCUAAUGGUGUAGCGACAUACCCCUGAAGAUAUCCCAAGAGGAGCAUACUGACUCCUAUGUUGCAACACAGGUCCUAGUGUGUCGCGACUUCAACUCUGGACAACAAUUAACACGAGUUAGGUGGCAUUUUGGUCCAUACAAUCAAACUUAAAGCUCAAAAGCGUCAGCGAAACCUAGGGUUCAAGACGACGACCACCUGAAAUUUAUAAAUAGGCUCAUUUGUCACAUGUAAAAGACACUAAUGCCUUAGUUUAGAAUUUUAUUUUAAACUUUAGUUUAGUUUUCUUUAUUUGAGGUUUUAGAUUUAUUUUCAAGUUGUUCAGGUUUAUCUCAAGAGAUCUAAUUUGUGGAGACGAUCAAACUCUAUGAUUCGAUUUAUUCUAAAUACAAAUAAGAUGUUUUCUUAAACUCUACAUUCUAUUUCAUUUAUCAUGUUUUCUAUUUGCAUCAGUUCCAUAUUGUUUAUGAAAACCACAAGGAACUAAUCCUUCUAUGGGGGAUUAACGAGUAGAGGUAUGAUCUUAACUAUUUUGUACGACUACUCAAUGGAUUAGCUGUUUGGGAAAGGAAUAACUUAAAUCCCUAACAACCCUAGGAAGUAAUCAAUGUGGGAAUUAACCCAAUAUUAGUAUGGUCUAUCUUGUUAGGUUAUGAGGUUAAAAGAUAAGUAGUUCUUACUGACUUGUUAUUUGAGUGGAAGAUUGAAAUAUCCUAUUGGGAUGGCGACUAGUUGAUUGACAAGGAGCCCGAAAUGAUAGUUAAUGGGGAUUACAAAAAUGAUCUAAUCACCUAUAAUCAAGAUUUGAUUUAUUCUACUCUUUGAUUUCUUGAAUUUUAUUUUCUUGUGUUAUUUUACUUUACUAUUAUAAAAAUUUUAAAAACUCUCUUUUAUUUUACCAUCGUACUAUAACUAAAUUUAAGUACUAAUUAGACUUUUUAGUGUUUAUGUUAAAUUGAUCUAGCACUCGUCUCUCUUAGGUACAAUCCUCGGAGUAGUCACCUAUUCCGUUGUAACUAUAUUACAACUAGACCCGUAUACUUGCAGAUAUCGCCUCAUAUAUCUAUAUAUUUUACUGUAGUAUUCAUAAUCUGAAGUUAGUACGUUUGGAGGCAGUCACUGAUCUGAGACAUUUAGAUUCAGUUCUUCAACAUUUAAAACACACGAAAGUUAGUAUGUAAAAUUUGGCCAAGGCACAAGCACAUUCUACCACAGCAAAAUAAAAAUAAACGAAGAAGAUGAUGUAGAUCUCGUUAAAAAUCAACACUUACACUUUACCCGUUUUAGAUAUGUGAUGAAUAGUGAUCAUAGAAUCAAAAAGAACAUUAACAAUAGCCUAGGAGGAAUCGAUCAAAAGGGGUAAAAAUCAGCAACCAAAAAUGAUGAAAAAGAUGGAAGGACAAGGGCUUAGUGAGGCAACAAUGUAAGAAAAACGGAAGCAACAAAUGGCUUUAACGUACGACAAUGGGAGGAGAAAAAUUGGUGCAAUGUGUAGCAAAGAAGAGCAAAAAAAAUAAUGAACAAAAGAGUGAAAGAAAGGUGGGCAAUAAAGCAAAACAGCGCCACCAAUGGAGGAGUAGAGGGGCGACACAACAAUGGUGAUAAAACUAAGUUAUGGGGUGGCGCACGGUUGAAGAAAAGAAAAGAAAAUUAAGAGAGUAGAGAUAAAAAGAGAGAGUGGGACAACAAGGGAUAAAAACAAAUGAGAAAAACUAAGUGAAAAGAGAGAGAAUAGCAUUUAUACCUAGGGUUUCUAAGUAGGGGCGGCACAAAAAAGGAUGAGAAAAAAAUAGAUAAAAUUAAACAUUAUGCAAGGGUAGGGAAUUGAACUUGAGUCUCAAGAACAAAUUCUCUAUAUCUUAAUUAUCUCUUAACCAUCAAGCCAAUAACACUCUUUAAAAUAAUUUUGCAACCGUAACAAUAAGAAUAGGGGAUUUGACAAAAACAAAUUCUCAUUUAUUGAGAAAAAUACAUCAUUUGAAUAAUGUUGCAAGAGUUUAUCUCUAUCUAACUCGUGUAGGGCAAUUUUGGACAAGACCAGUCAAAGAUCCGUCAAAGUUGCCGCAAAUACCUUAUCAUCAUCUAUUUAAAUUUCAACCCAUUUCUAUCCCUUGAGAAUUAGAAGCGAAAAAUUCAAAUCUAUUUUACCUUACUUUUUGAAAAAAAAAUGAACAUUUCUUUAGUAGUAUUCUCAUUGGCCUUGGUGCUCUCAAUCUCUGUAGGAGAUGCCGCCGACAUAAAACUUACUCCAGAGCAAGAAAAAAAGAUUGGUGAUGAGCUUGAAGAUGCAUUUCUAAUCGGUGUGGCCAAGGGAUUAUCACAAAGUGGAGUAGAAAUAUCCCCCAAACAGGAAGAAAAAAUAUUAUCAGAAAUGCUCAUUCACCGUGUGAAAGAAUUCUUAGACCCGAUACAACCUGGUAUUGCCGAGAAAGCUAUGGAAUCCCCUAAGGCUAAAACAAUGUUAGCUGAAUUGAUUCAAAAGCUUAGAAUCAAGAGAAAUGAGAGUGCAAAUAUGGGAAGGAAAAGAAAAUAGUCAAGGGAUGAUGAGACAUUUCCCCUUUGACAUGCACUCUAAUCUCAUUGAAGGAUGCACCUGCAUUCUGCAAAUAUAUCUAAAAGUUACAAAAUUUUCUUGGAAUAAAAAUAAAACCAUUUGUAAGUUAGGAAUUCAAUAAACAUCAAGAAUUGGAAAUUUAAUUGAUAUUGUAUUAAAAAUUGAAUGUGAUGGUCCUUUCAUAAAUAUUACUCUAUGUCCUUGUAGGUAUUCCAUUUAAU
rnacentral:lncRNA from 1 species